GCAAGAAGCAGCUCCAGAAACUGGAGUCCAGGGUCCGUGAACUGGAAGCUGAAGUUGACGCUGAGCAGAGACGAGGAAGUGAUGCUGUGAAAGGUGUCCGCAAAUAUGAGAGGAGAGUGAAAGAGUUGACCUACCAGACUGAGGAGGACAAGAAGAAUGUGCACAGACUCC